rnacentral:rRNA from 1 species
AAACCAACAGGGAUNGCCCUAGUAACGGCGAGUGAAGCGGCAACAGCUCAAAUUUGAAAUCUGGCUUCGGCCCGAGUUGUAAUUUGCAGAGGAUGCUUCUGGCGCGGUGCCUUCCGAGUUCCCUGGAACGGGACGCCACAGAGGGUGAGAGCCCCGUAUGGUCGGACACCAAGCCUGUGUGAAGCUCCUUCGACGAGUCGAGUAGUUUGGGAAUGCUGCUCUAAAUGGGAGGUAAAUCUCUUCUAAAGCUAAAUACCGGCCAGAGACCGAUAGCGCACAAGUAGAGUGAUCGAAAGAUGAAAAGCACCUUGAAAAGGGGGUUAAAUAGUACGUGAAAUUGUUGAAAGGGAAGCACUUAUGACCAGACUUGGGCCGGGCGGCUCAUCAGGGGUUCUCCCCUGUGCACUCCGCCCGGCACAGGCCAGCAUCGGUUCUCGUGGGGGGAUAAGACCGUCAGGAACGUAGCACCCUCCGGGGUGUGUUAUAGCCUGGCGGACGAUACCCCCGUGGGGACCGAGGUCCGCGCUCCGCAAGGAUGCUGGCGUAAUGGUCAUCAGUGAC